CACGUAGGCCGCUUUGUAAGUCAGGGGUGAAAUCCCACGGCUCAACCGUGGAACUGCCCUUGAAACUGCGAAGCUUGAAUCCUGGAGAGGGUGGCGGAAUUCUUGGUGUAGGAGUGAAAUCCGUAGAUAUCAGGAGGAACACCGGUGGCGAAGGCGGCCACCUGGACAGGUAUUGACGCUGAGGUGCGAAAGUGUGGGGAGCAAACA
rnacentral:rRNA from 1 species